rnacentral:rRNA from 1 species
GAGAUCGGGAUAACACCUGGAAACAGAUGCUAAUACCGGACAACAACAGAUGAUGCCUAUCAACUGUUUAAAAGAUGGUUCUGCUAUCACUCUUGGAUGGACCUGCGGUGCAUUAGCUAGUUGGUAGGGUAACGGCCUACCAAGGCGAUGAUGCAUAGCCGAGUUGAGAGACUGAUCGGCCACAUUGGGACUGAGACACGGCCCAAACUCCUACGGGAGGCAGCAGUC